rnacentral:rRNA from 1 species
UACAGAGGGGGCAAGCGUUAUUCGGAAUUAUUGGGCGUAAAGGGCGCGUCGGCGGCCUGGCAAGUGGAAGGUGAAAUCCCUCGGCUUAACCGAGGAACUGCCCUCCAAACUGCUUGGCUUGAGUCCGGGAGAGGUGAGUGGAAUUCCCAGUGUAGCGGUGAAAUGCGUAGAUAUUGGGAGGAACACCAGUGGCGAAGGCGGCUCACUGGACCGGAACUGACGCUGAUGCGCGAAAGCGUGGGGAGCAAACGGG